rnacentral:rRNA from 1 species
AUUGAACGCUGGCGGCAGGCCUAACACAUGCAAGUCGAGCGGAUGAAGGGAGCUUGCUCCUGGCUUCAGCGGCGGACGGGUGAGUAAUGCCUAGGAAUCUGCCUGGUAGUGGGGGCUAACGUCCGGAAACGGGCGCUAAUACCGCAUACGUCCAGAGGGAGAAAGGGGGGGAUCUUAGGACCUCACGCUAUCAGAUGAGCCUACGUGGGAUUAGCGAGCUGGUGAGGUAAAGGCCUACCAAGGCGACGAUCCGUAACUGCUCUGAGAGGGUGAUCGGCCACACUGGAACUGAGACACGGUCCAGACUCCUACGGGAGGCAGCAGUGGGGAAUCUUGCACAAUGGGCGAAAGCCUGACGGAGCAACGCCGCGUGAGUGAAGAAGGUCUUCGGAUCGUAAAACUCUGUUAUUAGGGAAGAACAUAUGUGUAAGAAACUGUGCAUAUCUUGACGGUACCUAAUCAGAAAGCCACGGCUAACUACGUG